rnacentral:ncRNA from 1 species
GUACGUGAGCUGGGUUCAGAACGUCGUGAGACAGUUCGGUCCCUAUCCGCCGCAGGCGCAGGAAAUUUGAGAGGAGUUGUCCCUAGUACGAGAGGACCGGGGUGAACAAACCUCUGGUGCACCAGUUGUCGUGCCAACGGCAUAGCUGGGUAGCUAAGUUUGGCAGGGAUAAGUGCUGAAAGCAUCUAAGCACGAAGCCCCCCUCAAGAUAAGAUUUCCCACUGGGUAACCAGGUAAGACACCUGAGAGAACAUCAGGUAGAUAGGCCGGAGGUGUAAGGGCAGUAAUGUCUGUAGCCGACCGGUACUAAUAAGUCGAGGGCUUGAUCUA